rnacentral:misc_RNA from 1 species
CCAAUAGCGUAUAUUAAAGUUGUUGCAGUUAAAAAGCUCGUAGUUGAAUUUCGGGAUCAGUUGAUCGGUCGUGCCUCGGUACGUACUGGUCAAAUUGAUUCCUACCUUCUGACGAACCACGAUGUCAUUAAUUUGAUGUCGCGGGAAAUCAGGACUGUUACUUUGAAAAAAUUAGAGUGUUUAAAGCAGGCUCGCGCUUGAAUACAUUAGCAUGGAAUAAUGAAAUAGGACGUUUGAUUCUAUUUUGUUGGUUUCUAGGAUCGACGUAAUGAUUAAUAGGGAUAGUUGGGGGCAUUAGUAUUCAAUUGUCAGAGGUGAAAUUCUUGGAUUUAUUGAAGACUAACUACUGCGAAAGCAUUUGCCAAGGAUGUUUUCAUUAAUCAAGAACGAAAGUUAGGGGAUCGAAGACGAUCAGAUACCGUCGUAGUCUUAACCAUAAACUAUGCCGACUAGGGAUCGGAUGAUGUUAAUUUUUUAAUGACUCAUUCGGCGCCUUACG